rnacentral:rRNA from 1 species
AGUGGCGCACGGGAGCGUAACGCGUGGGAAUCUGCCCUUAGGUACGGAAUAACUCAGAGAAAUUUGUGCUAAUACCGUAUGAUGUCGAAAGACCAAAGAUUUAUCGCCUAAGGAUGAGCCCGCGUAAGAUUAGCUUGUUGGUGAGGUAAAAGCUCACCAAGGCGACGAUCUUUAGCUGGUCUGAGAGGAUGAUCAGCCACACUGGGACUGAGACACGGCCCAGACUCCUACGGGAGGCAGCAGUGGGGAAUAUUGGACAAUGGGCGAAAGCCUGAUCCAGCAAUGCCGCGUGAGUGAUGAAGGCCUUAGGGUUGUAAAGCUCUUUUACCAGGGAUGAUAAUGACAGUACCUGAGAACAAGCUCCGGCUAACUCCGUGCCAGCAGCCGCGGUAAUACGGAGGGAGCUAGCGUUGUUCGGAAUUACUGGGCGUAAAGAGUACGUAGGCGGUUAUUCAAGUCAGAGGUGAAAGCCUGGAGCUCAACUCCAGAACUGCCUUUGAAACUAGAUAGCUAGAAUCUUGGAGAGGUGAGUGGAAUUCCGAGUGUAGAGGUGAAAUACGUAGAUAUUCGGAAGAACACCAGUGGCGAAGGCGACUCACUGGACAAGUAUUGACGCUGAGGUACGAAAGCAUGGGGAGCAAACAGGAUUAGAUACCCUGGUAGUCCACGCCGUAAACGAUGAUAACUAGCUGUUCGGGCU